rnacentral:rRNA from 2 species
UAGGGAAUCUUCGGCAAUGGACGAAAGUCUUACCGAGCAACGCCGCGUGAGUGAAGAAGGUUUUCGGAUCGUAAAACUCUGUUGUUAGAGAAGAACAAGGACGUUAGUAACUGAACGUCCCCUGACGGUAUCUAACCAGAAAGCCACGGCUAACUACGUGCCAGCAGCCGCGGUAAUACGUAGGUGGCAAGCGUUGUCCGGAUUUAUUGGGCGUAAAGCGAGCGCAGGCGGUUUCUUAAGUCUGAUGUGAAAGCCCCCGGCUCAACCGGGGAGGGUCAUUGGAAACUGGGAGACUUGAGUGCAGAAGAGGAGAGUGGAAUUCCAUGUGUAGCGGUGAAAUGCGUAGAUAUAUGGAGGAACACCAGUGGCGAAGGCGGCUCUCUGGUCUGUAACUGACGCUGAGGCUCGAAAGCGUGGGGAGCAAACAGG